rnacentral:rRNA from 1 species
ACACUCCUACGGGAGGCAGCAGUGGGGAAUUUUGGACAAUGGGCGAAAGCCUGAUCCAGCAAUGCCGCGUGAGUGAAGAAGGCCUUCGGGUUGUAAAGCUCUUUUGUCAGGGAAGAAACGGUGAGAGCUAAUAUCUUUUGCUAAUGACGGUACCUGAAGAAUAAGCACCGGCUAACUACGUGCCAGCAGCCGCGGUAAUACGUAGGGUGCAAGCGUUAAUCGGAAUUACUGGGCGUAAAGCGUGCGCAGGCGGUUUUGUAAGUCUGAUGUGAAAUCCCCGGGCUCAACCUGGGAAUUGCAUUGGAGACUGCAAGGCUAGAAUCUGGCAGAGGGGGGUAGAAUUCCACGUGUAGCAGUGAAAUGCGUAGAUAUGUGGAGGAACACCGAUGGCGAAGGCAGCCCCCUGGGUCAAGAUUGACGCUCAUGCACGAAAGCGUGGGGAGCAAACAGGAUUAGAAACCCCAGUAGUCCCAUGAU